AUGGACCAAGACAAGAGGACCAAGCCCUACAAUGUGAAGGAUGGAUUCCAGGGUCCCAUGGCAACAAGACCCCUCUCAGGCGGGAGCAGCAACCCCAGGGGCUCUGAAGAAGUGGUUACAGCUCUCAGGGGUGCAAAAUGGGAAGAAGGAGACGUAGACCCGCUGUUGACCCUCAAUCAGCACGGUUUCCCAAGCCCCUUUCCCCCCAGUUACUACCCUUGCUCUGACUUCCUCAUACCCUGCCCGGCCCCCUCCCCCAAUUUCUAGGAGCUAGAGAGCCAGCAUAUUAUGGAUGAUCAGGUUCCCCGUCAAGCCCAGGCUUGUUCUGGAGGAGAAACUGAGGACUUGACUUGGGACUUCACCUGCACUCCGGGGGGACGGAGGCCCUAGCCUGUCCUUCCCUUGGGGUCACACUUGAACUCAAUUAAAAUGGUGUGUAUGACUCUUCUGGAGGAAGGCUAGUCUUUGACUGGGAAUUUUUUUUGUCUUUUUCUUUUUAAAUUUAUUUUUAUUUUUAUUGUUUAUUACUCAAUGAAUUUAUUACAUUUAUAGUUGUACAAUGAUAAUCACCAUCUAAUUUUAUAGGAUGACUGGGAAUUUCUUAAGAGCAGGGAAGAGUGAGAGGGAACCGGGCCUCUUCUCUUCAUCACUCUUUGGUUCUUCUCGCCCUGCUCCAGGCCUCCGCCAGGAUCCAAAGCCUUCCUCCUUUACCAUCCAGGUGGAAGCCAGCUCUGUAAGGAGGAGUGAGGCCUGCUUAGCCUGCAGCUUUGAGCCUGUUCUGGAAGUUCUGUUCCAGCCAGAGGGAUCUGAGCAGUCAACCAAGCUUUUUAAAGAAAGUUAGUUUGUUUCUUAAAACUUUUCACAUUAAAAGACCCAAAAAACUUGUUAGAAGAGAAGGCGAGAGAGUAGGAAGGUAGUAGAAGACACAAGGUCCACUGAUGGGCCUUUUGUUUUGGCAUAAAAGCCUUGAGAACACAGAGCCGGUGGACCAGAGACACGUAAGAUACAGGGAAGAAAAAAGUUAAUGAUGGCAGC
rnacentral:lncRNA from 1 species